AACGAUAACUUGGGUUACAAGGUUGAGCUACAAUUACAACAUUAAUCACGAAAUCCAGGACCGGAGCACUGUCCCCUACUCGGAUGAGGAGUUAUUCCAAGUUAUCUUAUUACGCACAUUGGUUUUGUGAAGCUACAUUUGCACUUCCUGCAAACCAUGGCAGACCCGGAUGAGUGCACUGUUUUGCAUCGGCUAGUGGAACGAUAGGUCCAAGGAAGAUGCGCCACAAAUCAAGUAUUAUCGUGACUAACAUUGCAGCCCCUAGAGAAUCAACUGCCACCCGAGGUAAGUCCCAUAGAUCACCGGGUUUCUCGUCAAUCCUGUGAAAUGAGGUUAGAAUAUAUUACCCAAAUGAAACAAACACUACACUAUAUGUAUAUAAAAGACAACCAACUUUCUAGCAGACAUAAAUAAGCAGAAAAGUUAUAGCACGGCCUAAAGGUACAUUAUUACUUCUAGGAUAAACUAGUCACCCAACUAUGGUUUUUUUCUUUUUUCGUCAUCCAACUAUGAAAAGUUACAAAAUAGUCACCUAAUUAUUAGUAAAUUUCUUUUUCGGUCACUCAAACUAUGAAAAGUUACAAAAUGGUCACUCAACUAUUCAAUUUUGUCUGUUUCUGUCACCCAACUAUCUUGGAUUUGUGGGAGUUUCAAUUUUUUCAUUAGCCAACUGGUGACCAAAAAAGAUAAAAUUGAAUAGUUGGGUGACUAUUUUGUAACUUUUCAUAUUUGGGUGACCAAAAAAGAAAAAAUAAACAAAGUUGGGUGACCUCUAUUGUAGUUUACCCAUCUAAUAUUGGUUGCAAACAAGCCUUUACCACUAUGCAGACGUACUUUAUUCCAAUCCGUAUUUCUCAAAGGAACUGUUAAAACUUAUGUUACUUGGACUCGAGUCUGAAAGUCAUAUACGGGUAUAGUCAGAUUUUCCAAGAUUUUCCAUGUAUUUGGAACAUUUUUGGAGGCCAUAUCUCUAUAUCCACGUGUUAGACAAGGGUAUUUUAAGAAAUAAUAAGAGUUAGGGCAACUUAGGCUAAAACAAAAGCGUUUUAUAAGCAAUGAAUAUGGUUCCACACUUUCUUCUAAGCAAAUAAACAUAAAGCUGGCUUAGUUUCUUACCUGAGAAACAUCGGGAAGCUCACGAUGAAGUAUAUAGCAUAAAAUAAAGAUCCCACUUUAUACAUAGACGCACGAUCCACAAAAUCAUAGUACGGGAACUGCACACGUUCAAAUUAAAGUAUCAUCAUAAGCAAAGUUUCACUUCAAACGUUAUGCAGAUCCAUUUAGCAGGGUCGUUAGAAUGUCAGAAUUCACAAGAAAUAAUGGAAAUCCAAAGUUUUCAUGUUGCAUGGAAUGGUUUCUUAAAGAAAACAUGAUGACAGUAAUACGACUUGCAGUAGACUUGGUAACAUUGACAGAAUGCUCAUAUAGUUAGCUUCAAGUUCUAUUUACCAAAAGAAAGAAACCACAUUACCACGUACGUUAGAAAUAGCUAAAGUCUCGAGAUAUGCUAUGAAAUAAGAAAGGGCCAAAAUCCAUGCCACCUCAGUAGCCAACUGAAUAUUCUCGGGCAAGCUAGCAAUAGAGUGCCUUAAUCUGCGAAGUGUCAUGUUUGAUGUAACAUGGUAAAACAGGAAGACAACAUGAGUGAGAAGGAAAGUCGUGUGUGGUACCUGCAAAGAGAAACGGAUUAAUCGAGUAGACUUGCACCACCAAAAUCAGUAAACUGCAAAUCGAAAUAAAUUAUUACUAUCUGCAGCUUACAUCGUUCAUUUUCCAAGAUGGGAAGGUAUAAGAAGCUCCUAAAACCGUGAAGAAAUAAUGGGUCCAAAAAUAAUUCCCGACGUAACUAAAUAUUACAAUCCAGACACUGGCCUGCAACAAUGACAACAAUUACAGUUAAGGCUAUAGAUAACCUCAAAUCACAGGAGAUUCUACUAAUUGGCCAUGCUUGAGAUCAUUAAAAGUUAGUGAAACAAAUAUGCAUGGAAAUUAAAACGGAAAUUUGACGAACAUGACAAAAGUAUUCUACACGUAAUCAUGAAACUAUAAACUUGUUCUAAACAAUGAUGCAAACUGUCCUAGUGAUCAUUCAAAGAAGUAAAUGAAGUGAAAUAUGAGGUAGCAAAGGCUAAAUGCAAAAUAUAGAGCAAAUUGUUUGGUAUCUCGGUAGUCCUUGAAAGUUAGAAUACAUCACCAACUAACGACAAUACACUACACAUUAGCAAAGAUCUGAUCCAGUUAAACAUAUAAUCCACGCAUCAACAAUUCGUUUUACAAACAUAUAAUAUGUAAUGAAACAAUUAUCUAGUAAAACACUUGCCUUAACCCAAUAACGGUCCUUCCAAUGCAAGCUGCUGUCAGCCUGAAAAAGGAAAUAAAAACAUUUUUAGUGUGUUAGAAGAAAACAGGGUGAUGGGGGAAGCUCCCUCCAAUUUGCAUUCGGGCAAUUAAAGAGUUACAAAGUUUAAGAUAGCUUCUUAUACUUCAACACUAAUGAGUAAGUGCGCAGAAGAGAUAAAUUCUCACAGAAAAUGAGAGAACAAUCCUUACAUGUUUAUUUGAGGGCUAGACGCCUUAAAUAAGCAGCAAGAAAUGGAACCAUGAGAUCCCUAUAAACACCCAAGACAAGCUUACCCUGCUAAUGAGGAUCUUGAAAUCCAUUUACGCCUAGAGGCAAGCAAUUUACUUUUAAAACAAGCCAGUUAUCAAAGCAAUGAACCUCAUCAUGAAACGGACUACUUCACGAUUCUAUGUCGUAUUCACUCCCUCCGUGUCAGAUCAACAUUCUAUAAGGAAGAAACCUGAACUUGGUGGAUAAAUUUACAAGACUUUCAAAGACGAGGC
rnacentral:lncRNA from 1 species